rnacentral:tRNA from 1 species
GGUCGCCCCGGGUCGGUGUUACCGACCACCCUGCCCUGUGGAGCCCGGACCUUCCUCGGCGGGGUGCGAAACCCCGACGCGGCCG